rnacentral:rRNA from 1 species
GUGCGUAGGUGGUUUCUUAAGUCGGAUGUGAAAUCCCUGAGCUUAACUUAGGAAUUGCAUUCGAUACUGGGAAGCUAGAGUAUGGGAGAGGAUGGUAGAAUUCCAGGUGUAGCGGUGAAAUGCGUAGAGAUCUGGAGGAAUACCGAUGGCGAAGGCAGCCAUCUGGCCUAAUACUGACGCUGAGGUACGAAAGCAUGGGGAGCAAACA